rnacentral:tRNA from 1 species
GGGUGCGUGGCCUAACGGUUAAGGCGUUGGUUUUCGGCACCAAAGAUUGCAGGUUCGAAUCCUGCCGUACUCG